rnacentral:rRNA from 1 species
GAUGAACGCUGGCGGCGUGCCUAAUACAUGCAAGUCGAGCGAACAGACGAGGAGCUUGCUCCUCUGACGUUAGCGGCGGACGGGUGAGUAACACGUGGAUAACCUACCUAUAAGACUGGGAUAACUUCGGGAAACCGGAGCUAAUACCGGAUAAUAUAUUGAACCGCAUGGUUCAAUAGUGAAAGACGGUUUUGCUGUCACUUAUAGAUGGAUCCGCGCCGCAUUAGCUAGUUGGUAAGGUAACGGCUUACCAAGGCAACGAUGCGUAGCCGACCUGAGAGGGUGUUCGGCACCCUUGGACGUGGACCCCGGCCCGACCUCCGCGGGGAGCCGCCGGAGGGGAUUCUUCCGCAUGGGGCAAAGGUUGACCGGGGCAACCCGGGGUGAGUGAGAAGGGUCUUCGUUCCGAAAACCUCUUUUAUUGGGAAAAAACAAAUGUGUACUUAACUCUCCCCUUCUUGACGGUACCUAAUCAAAAAGCCACGGCUAACUACGUC